rnacentral:lncRNA from 1 species
CAUCCUCACGGUGCUGUUAAGGCAGGUGGCACUACAGCCUUCUCGCCACAUGCAACAACUGGCUGGGGGAGAGAAACAGAUUGCCCAAGAUCACAAACUUGUAAAACCAGAAAACAGGUUUUGGAACCUGGCUUAUUUAUUCCCCAAACCCGUGUCCUUUCCACUUGACUGUCUUGAAUUUCUGAGGCAAAUCAGAGAGUGGACACAGACAUUCAAGGGGAUGCAGGCUUCUGAUGACAGUCCUCAGCUCUUCUCUAAGGAACCGGAGGGGACUCACAAUCAGCGAGGUCAUUUCGGGAGUUCCGACCCCUGGAGUCUGACUCUCUUGGUGUCCCACACCAUUCCCGCCCCUGGAAGUCUGGUCGGGAUGAGCUGUUAGUCUUUGCUUCUCAUCUCCAGCAGGUUGGAGCUCUCUGCCUGUCUAACCGAGGCGCUGGGCCUGUUGUCCUUCUGUGACCUUCGUCUGUGUUCCGCAUCAGCAUCGCCUUUUCCAUGAUGAUUCGGGGAGGCAGGAGGGCACGAUGGUGCGGGUGCCAAACUUGAGAUGGAAUCCUCUUUGAUAGGUCCAUGGUUCCCAAACUGCGCACCGCAGCACCCAGGGACACCAUGACAGAUUCACGGGGACACCAUGGAAUGAUUGCAGUCUCUGAGAGAAACCCAGCGAUAUCCAACUUCUGUUGACCAGCACAGGAACCAUUAGCUCAAGGUAGCUCACAGUUUCAAAAUGAGACUACACUACAUUUCUUUUCAUGACAUCAUAUCUUUGCAAAGGUGGUGUUUUGGUGAUUGCUGUGAUAAAAAGUCGGCACCUCCGGAAAGGCAGAGUGGGACGGGAAAUAAGGGGGGUGGUAUCCCGUCUGAUUCUAAGGCUUCAGAAGCUGUGGAGGGCCCACCACCUACACACAUCCUAUUGACGGGCGGAGAAGGAGUUGCAUGAAGACUCCCCGUUCUCUGAGAGGUUGGCUGGGCCUGGGCUCAACUACCACAGGGGACCUGGGGGUGGGGCGGUUGACGCUGGCCUGCUUCCUUCGAAGAGUGCAUUCUGGAACUUGAAAGGAGGAUUCAAGUCACUAAAUGGGCACCCUGACACCUUCUGGGCAAAGGUGAAUGUCCUUACAGUUUUCCACAUAGAAGAACUCAAGUGCAGAGUACUUAAGAAACAUCUACAGUCAGGGAGGCGGGAGGGAGGUGGCAGGAAGCCCGAUUUGAAUUGACUUCUCAGAUUUCUUACUCUAAUUGCUUCACUAUAUUUUCACUAUAUUUUAAAACACUAAAAUGUCUCAAGCUUUUGGCGAGAAGUUUUAAAACAUCAAAAUUCAAUUCUCUGCCAAUUAACAGUCAUUUAAUUUAGAAGUACCUAAUUGAGUUUUCUGAUUUUAAGGUACUAAUGGACUAGAAACUCGUUUGUGCGAUUUCAGCCCAAAGCUAGAUAGUUACGGGUAAGCUGUAUCCUUUCUAAUAGACCUUGAGCGGCAGGGACUUUUCCUGGCAGGUGAGACUAUAACGAGCUUUAAGCUCUUGCUCAAGUGUAUUCUCCACCUGGACUUGAAUCUGUAAUGAAUCAGCCGCUGGAGUCCAAGUGGCCCUCUCAGGAGGCCAGCUGGGUGACAAGGUCAGGGAAAAUUGGUCUUUGCUGGAAGUGUCCUCAGCAAAAAUAUCUCAUUUAAAACCUUCUGGAAGUUGGCAUUUUCUUUUCUUCUUUACAUCAGUGCCCAUACUCCGAUGAGCAGAGCAGAAUAGACACAAAAUUUUGUUAAUACAAUUGUCAUCAGGAUCUAAGAAACCUCAGACAGCAAAGAGACAACGAAAGUACAUUUAAAAUAUUAGAUGUUAUGGGAGAUACUGGGCAUGUUUGUGAGUUCGUGUGACUUGAUAUGUAGCUAAGGCACACUCACAUCAAUUGAGGUGGUGAAGAGUCAUGUCCAACACAGAGGGAUACGUAUUUCUACGACUAAGCUUAGCUCGAAUGUUUCUACAAGAAAGGAACCGAUUCUUACAGUCACACACGCAGGAUUCAAGGUUCCAAAGAUGUAACCACCCAAAGCGUUUACUACAAAACAGUAUAUUUCAACCCUCCUAGUUGUACUACAGUGAUUGGAGAGAGAAAACUAACACAUUUAAUGGGGCUCCUAGCCCAGUGCCUUACAUGUAGUUGAGGCUGUAUUAAUGUUUGUUGAAUGAAUACAUGAAUAUAUGAAUGAAUAAUAAAGUGACAGAAUCAACCAAGCUCCUUUUGUGUCACACUGGCUUUUAAAAGGGGUUUUUAAGUUGAAUCCAAAAGUGCUGUGAAGGCGAAUAUGAUUGUACUACACAAACGAUCCUUGGGUAAAAUUAUUUUCUCUGAAAGCACUCCUGCCUAGAAAUUAGUGUUGGUGUCCUCAGAUUUGGUUGGCCGAACCACCAAGGCGUUCUGAGACCUGCCUCUUGGCCUCCAGAAGAACACGUUGGGGUGGGUCUCCCCACUGCCGGGUCUGCCCCUAGGAGUGGAAAGGAGACGCACCCUACAAGAGGAGGAUAUUCCUACACAGAGGCAGGCGAUACCUGGACACCCAGAGUCUCUCAAAAGGGCUUCCCGUGACUGAAGAAGGGGUUGUAGACGCUCUGAGCCUCCUACGCUGUCGAGCCACUGUUCCUGAAAAGCCAGCGAAUCCCUGUAACAGAGGAUGUGGGGUGGAACAGAAACCGCAUCAUGGACUUUGAAAUCAGAAUUUGGAGUUCGAAUAAAAACAAUCACUAGCUAUGACUCUUACUUCACUUCUUUGAGACUCAGUUUCUCUCUGUGUAAAAUGAGAGUAAUAAACCUACUCUUUCGAAGCGUGAGAUAACGUGUAGAAUGGACUAGCACAAGACCACUCUCCCAGCAGUGGUUGAUAAAUGGUAACCAUUGAUGUUACUGAACAGAUAGACAUCCUGCCUUGGUGCGCUCCUUACCUGUCUCUACCUCUGCAGAAUUUGGAGAAGAGCUGGACUAGGUUAGCGUCUCGCGAACCUGGCUGUGUAUUUGGAGUCACACGAUGUUGAUUGUGCAUCUACUAUAAGCCAGAAGUAUGCUGGGUGUCACACAGAAAGCGUUGACAAAACAAAUACGGCCCCCUGUCCUCAUGGAGUUUACUGUCUAGGAGGGAAGAUGGACAUGAAGCCAGUAAUCCCUGGGCAGAAAGAUCAGAAAAUGUGAAAUGGUCAUUGGUGAUCCCACAAUCGAAGCUUUCUUGUUCUGAACUAUUUUUAACCCUGUUCUUUCCUUGUUUCCUGUCUCUUCCCAUGGACUGCAGGGAAUUUCAGAAGAAAUGCAGUACUCUCCAAUUCUCCAGUCACAACAAUUUUUAAAGUUACAGGCUUCAAGAAAGCUUAAAAUGCACAAUUCAAUGUAUGAGUUAGUAUUCUUAUUGCAGAGAACAGAAUCUUCUCUGGUGAGUGCAAAAGAGUGGUAUUUCCUAGGGAAUAUUGAUAAUUCCCCACCUGUGGGGAGAUGUGAGGGAGUGGACCUAGGCUGAGUUCUCAGGGGUGAGCCCUGAGCCACACUGUAGAAGCAGGCCAUUAAGGGUGGCUGUCACCUCCCCAUUGAUCAGGAAGCUAUCGAAUCAAGAAGUUUCCACUUCAGUUACCAGGUGCGAAUCUACACCUCUCUCCUUCAGUCUGCACCAGCAAACUGAGUGUCCUGUACCCGGCCUGCCCCCGAAACGAUGCAGUUCUGAAUCGAAGUCUCAUGUGAGAGCAUCUGAUUGGGAUGCCCAAACCACAUACAGAAUGGCACUGCAAACCACACCUGAAAAGUGUGGCUUUAGCUUUUUGACCUCAGCUCUCUCAAAGGGCCUGGAGUGGGGGCAGAGUGAGAUGACCCUCAGGAUCCAUCACAAAAGUGAGGGGUAGGGGCUGACCCAUCCGGUGAACAGAGGCACUCUUUAUAAGAAGAGCAGAUUCUCUUGCAUCUCCAACCAUUUCAUUGGCUCCUAGGCAGUGGAAGCACCCUUUUCAGCCGCUUAGUACCUAAUUCAGUUCAACCUAUAAUACACAGAAGAGGUUAAUUAAUCCUUUUGCUCUUGUAAUCCUUUUUGUUAGAUGCCUGACCUGGGGUAGUUUAUUUAUUAGGAGAAUGCCAUCAGUGUCUGGUGUCAGGUUCUUGAUGGGCCAUAGAAUUUCACUUUUGGUUUUGCCGUUUGCUAGUCAAUGUGACUUGCAGGUGUAGCUGGUGAAAUGGAUCCAGAAAUGGAAUGUAACGUCCGUGACCAAUCCAAAUCUUUCAACAUCUUGAUCUGUUCAUCAUAAACCAAAUCUGCUAGAAGAAAGUAAAGAAAGGAGAUAAAAUCCAAAAGGCCAAUAACUCAUCAUAAGUUUGAAAACAAAUAGCCUGUGUGUGUAUUUCUAUACAUAGGCCAAAUUUUAAAAAAACAAAUUAGAGUCAGGUGAAUGUUGAUCAGGGGUGACUAACCUUCCAGGUUUGCCCAGGACUAAGGUAGUUUCCAGAAACGUGUGACUUUCAGUGCUAAAACAAGGACAGUUUUUGGCAAAUCAGAACGGUUAGUCAUGCUAAUGGGUCCAUAGAUCUAGGGAUCUGGUAGCUUGUGGUCUGAAACUUGGUGCUGUCAAACAUCAUAAGAGGUUGCAAACUGUUGGUCCAUGGAUUCAGCCAAUAUGGUGUCUAAUUUUUUUUAAAAAAUUUGUAGCCAGCAUUUAAAGACAGGGAAGUUUUACAAAAAUGGACAUGUCCAACUGUACUUGACCAUACUCUUAAGGAUAUUGCGUAAUCUAGGACUGCCGGACAUUUCCACAUGGCAUCCGUGCUGUAGGCUUGGAAACGCAGUGUUCAUUUUGUCACAGUCCCCGUCACUCUAUAUAGUCUCAUUUUUCAGUUGCCAGUUAUCAUCUUGCUUGUGCUGUUGUUUUUAUUAUAAUAGAGAACCAUGAAUUUUUUAUACAUCUCUAUAAAAAGGAAGAAAUGAAAUCUGCACUGAGAAGGCCAUGCAUUUCAAUGUGAAAGCAUUCACUUUUCUUUGGCUGACCCCCUUCUCACACUUGCAUUACCUGCCUGACCUCUGUAGGGACUUGCUUGUGGGUCUGCUCCAGGGGAGAGAUGUUCAGUGGAUGAGAUAACUUUCCUGAUUGGUCUUUUAUGGAUAUUGUCUUACUUAAUAGAAAACUUAAGAUGCUCUGUCUCAUAUCAUACAGUCAUUUAUGAUGUUUUCAAAGAAUUUUUAUUGACAUGAAACCCACGCAUGUUUGUUAAAUGAAUAAGAGCUAAAUAUGCUAUUGUACAUAUAGAGUCUGCAUAUGCCUGCAUUUGUAGUAUGAUAGCAAUUAGGUAAGAAAUAUGUAAAAAUAGGGAUAAAAAACUGGAAGGAAACACAACAGAUAUUAACACUCAAAAUGAGGGGAAUGUCCCCAACCGUAUCUAUUUACAUGUUGACCUCAGGUGCACAAACUCUGCCAUGCUUACUACAAAUGAAAGACCAGACUUCCCAAAGACUUUCCCAUUGUUAUCGCGUCCUCAUUCAGAAGCUUUAAAAGAUGAAAACUUCGAAUUUAUAGAUUAGGAGCUGGUAAACUUUUUGUGUAAAGGGCUGUAGACUAAAUAUUAUUGGCUUCAUGGGUCAUGAGGUUUCUCUCCCAACUUCUCAGUUCUGCUAUUGCAGUGCAAAAGCAGAUAUAGACAGUAAACGCUGAAAUGAAUAAGGAUGGGUGGGUGCCAAUAAUACAUUUUAUGGACGUUAACAUUUUAAUUUCCUAUAAUUUUGAUGUUUGUGAAAUACUUUUCUUUUAAUUUUUUUUUCUCAAUGAUUAAAAAAUGUAAAAACCCUUCUUAGCCCACGGGCCAUACAAAAACAGGUGACAGGCCAGAUUUGAUCCUCUGGCUCCAGUUUGCCAACCACUAUGACAGAUGCUCGAUGUUUCCACCCAUUUAAGCUGAAGGUAAUGACAAGCCGGUAGAAGUAACCUACAGGGUCACAGUCUAUUAUGAGGAACUCUUCUAUGGAAACAAACAUUAUCACAUAGAGAUGACGGUGACUGCAUUCAGAUUGUAUACCAAGUGUCCAUGGUGGGAGGGAGGUGUCGAUCCUCGUCUGGUGAGCAAAGUGGAACGUUCACAGCAGACUCACCCCAACACCGUCCCGUUUAACAGUUACAUUUGCAAGAGGACUCGAUGGAAAUUCACUUUGAGGAACAGUUUCUAACGCAGAUGGGGUAGUAGCAUCAUUCAUCAGAAUGUGCUGUCGUCAACUGAUGGUUUGUAUGGACGGUGAAAUGGAUGGAUCUACUUCAAUUUUCACCCACUAUAAAUUUUUUCAUAAUAAAAGGUGGAGAGAGAAAUUAUGGAUCCUGGGAGUGACAGAAGAAGUUUGCUCAGCUUUGCUUCUAGGGGCCUCAGUGGCUGGGCCUUAAAGAUGCAGGAACUAGGACUACUUAUUUUUAAGAAGACCAUUUCUAUAACACUUAUUUGCAAGGAGAAGACCCCCUGCAGGUAUCAACAGGGCCCCUGCAGCUUUUGUAGAUUUUGCUUCGCCUUUUCUAAUGUCCCUGAGUGGAGUCCUGAAUCAAAAGCAUAUGUUACAGUGAGGAUGCCUGAGCCCUGCCCCAGAGCUACGACCGAAUCAGAAGGUUUGGGUCGGCCCCAGGAGUCUGACUUUUCAGCAGGUGAUGAUCAUGCUCAUGAGGAGCCUAUGGUUUACGUAAGGCUUCUAUUGCCCCAGAAUAAACUGUCCUUCGGGCCCAGGGCUUUGCUUCCUGGUCAUAUUCGGGGCCAUGGAACUCUCUCAAGGCGAGAAGCCAAGGCUAGAAGAUGGACUGGUCACUCCGUGCACCUUCCCCUUGGGGGUCGGGGGGGUCCCGUCAUUGCGGGGGGUGGCACUGCUAUGGGUUCCCCUAACUCGGCCACACUGUCUCCCUCCCUUCCUGUUGCCUGUGAAGGCCCCGCCCACUACCCACUGUCUCAGGUCACAGUCUCCCCUGCCCUUCAAUAAACUCCAGGUUUCCCAGAUGUCAGACAGUUGAGCAGCUUCUGCUCAGCCCUGCAAAAGCCACCGAGGCAAGAACAUACCAGGAGCCUGGCUAACUUCUAGGAACAAAGCAGGGAGAAAACCCAGAGGACAGAACACAAAGUAACGCUCCAUAAAUCAUCCUGCCGCAUGCCGAAAGCCACAGGAUAUUUCCUUUUCUGAACAAGAAACAAGGCCUCCUAAAAGCGUCAUAAAGCUGACCAUGAUUACAGAGUCAGUGAACGUCAUCAGCAUCGGCUGAGCCUCAUAUGUAGCCAGGCGCUUCAUGCUCCGAGGGGUUACAUCGCCUCUACUGCAUCAACAUGGCUAACAGACUUCAGAGCUGAGGUUCAAAACUGUGGUGGGUUUGCCUCCAUCAUAUGAAGGAGACAGAAGAGAAGAAGAGAUACGCUCCCCCCUACCCCGGAGAGCCAGGAAGUCUCCCGCGUCUCCUGCCUCUGUUCUUCCUGGGAGUCUUCAGCAGCUUGGAGGGCAGCUUCACAUCCUAUGCUUCUGAUCUGUGGGGCAGAAAGGUCGGGGCGUGGGGAAGGGAGGCUUGUUGGGAGAAAAUCCACUUUCUACGUGUGGCACGUGCUCUAACCCCAAGCGUUCACCAGCACAGACCUGAAGGAAGGACAUACACAUUUCUCUGGGUCUAUAAGGAACAGCAAACAGACCAGGCAUGGAUUAAAACUUGCUGCCUUCUUUUAGUAGAUGUCGCUCCUCUCAUUGCCCGUCAAUCAUUGUGUGACUUUGUCUCAACAUCAUCAUCAGUCAAUUGUUUACCUACCAAAUGCUCUUAUAGGCAGGCCUCACAUUUUUCAGUGUAAAUAAUAAUACCUGUGAAACUUACAUCAUCAAUUUUAUCUCAAAAUAAUUUAGUUAACGCUUGGUAAUUAUUUUAACUUAGAUGAAAGGGGCUAUACAUCUUUUAUUUUCCUCUUCUGAGAUAGACACAGAAAUGGAGAGAUGUAGAGUUGAAGGACGGAGAUCUUGCAAGAUGACUUUCCUUUACAACAUUGAACACAACUGCUAAACAUGAUGUGAGCAUCUUAAAAAGAGCCAAAGUAAUUGUUGUAGAGGUUCAAAAAUAUAUUGUUCAGUGAUGUGCCUUCAGUCUGCCUGUGACCUUUGUGCUGUGGCCUAAGGUCAGCAAGUAGAGAAGGGCUGAGAAAAAAGGUCUAAUGAAGCUCUCUUGUUGGAAGGAAGAGGAAGGGUUUAAAACAGAUUUAAAUAUCUUCAGAGGCAGGGCAGAGAAAG